GAUGAACGCUGGCGGCGUGCCUAACACAUGCAAGUCGAGCGGGGGAUAUAAGAGUGCUUGCACGCUUAUAGACCUAGCGGCGGACGGGUGAGUAACGCGUGGGUAACCUGCCCUGUACAGGGGAAUAACAAUGAGAAAUCAUUGCUAAAACCGCAUAAGCACCGAGUGAGGCAUCUUACAGGGAGGAAAUAUUAAUAGGUACAGGAGGGGCCCGGGGCUGAUUAGCUAGUUGGCAGGGUAACGGCCUACCAAGGCGACGAUCAGUAGCCGACCUGAGAGGGUAAUCAGCCACAUUGGGACUGAGACACGGCCCAAACUCCUACGGGAGGCAGCAGUGGGGAAUAUUGCACAAUGGGCGCAAGCCUGAUGCAGCAACGCCGCGUGAAGGAAGAAGGGUUUCGGCUCGUAAACUUCUUUAGGCAGGGACGAAAAGAAUGACGGUACCUGCAGAAUAAGCACCGGCUAACUACGUGCCAGCCGCCGCCGUAAGAC
rnacentral:rRNA from 1 species